GAUGAACGCUAGCGAUAGGCCUAACACAUGCAAGUCGAGGGGCAUCACAUGAAGUAGCAAUACGGAUGGUGGCGACCGGCGCACGGGUGAGUAACACGUAUGCAACCUGCCUUCAACAAGGGGAUAACCCGUUGAAAGACGGACUAAUACCCUAUAACACAGGGGUCCCGCAUGGGAAUAUUUGUUAAAGGACAACCGGUUGAAGAUGGGCAUGCGUUCCAUUAGCUAGUUGGCGGGGUAACGGCCCACCAAGGCAACGAUGGAUAGGGGAACUGAGAGGUUUAUCCCCCACACUGGUACUGAGACACGGACCAGACUCCUACGGGAGGCAGCAGUGAGGAAUAUUGGUCAAUGGACGCAAGUCUGAACCAGCCACGUCGCGUGAAGGAAGACGGCCCUACGGGUUGUAAACUUCUUUUAUACGGGGAAUAAAGUGCCCCACGCGUGGGGUUUUGCAUGUACCGUAUGAUAAGGAUCGGCUAACUCCGUGCCAGCAGCCGUCGGUAAAUACUGACUCA
rnacentral:rRNA from 1 species